UAGCGGUUAGCCGUUAGCAUCAGCCGGCUCUGAGCAUCGUCGCAUAAAACUGCAGCUUGGUGUGGAUUUGGAGCUGUAUUGGAUGUAAGGUGUAUGCUCUGGCGUGCCGGAAAACGGGUGUGAACGCGGUUAGCGGUUAGCUGUUAGCAUCAGCUAACUCUGGGCAUCGUCGCAUAAAACUGCAGCUUGGUGUGGAUGUGGAGCUGUAUUGGAUGCAAGGUGUAUGCUCUGGCGUGCCGGAAAACAGGUGUGUUUUGACCGUAACAACGUAAGAACAACUUGGUGCACGUGGUGUCCCCCUUGGGCCGACUGGUCACCUCCUCCUUGGGAAAUCUUUCCUUUUGCACUUGGUUUGCUGUGUUGGACUCACCCUUGGUUUGAGGUGUUGCGACGUGUGUGGGUGUGUGUGAGUAUUCUGUUUGUGCUUGCAGAGGUUGUAUUUCUCCUUGGGAGGGAGGGCCCGGGCACAAGAAUUGUCCAGCACCAGUUAGCUACAGAAAGAUGAUAAUGCUAUGUUAAGACUCCAAACAGCCAGUAUCUCUAACAUUCUUUUUUUAAGCGCAUUUUGUCCCAAGGCUCAGGUAUACUUUUAAAGUUGUUUUUUUUUUUAAAAAACUUUAAUUGCUUAAUAAAGUGUUCUUAUGUAUUUCAUGUAUCUACUAUUUCAAACCUGAAUAAGUAAAGAUUGUAUGCUGAACCUCA